rnacentral:rRNA from 1 species
AUUGAACGCUGGCGGCAGGCCUAACACAUGCAAGUCGAACGGUAACAGGAAGAAGCUUGCUUCUUUGCUGACGAGUGGCGGACGGGUGAGUAAUGUCUGGGAAACUGCCCGAUGGAGGGGGAUGACUACUGGAAACGGUAGCUAAUACCGCAUAACGUCGCAAGACCAAAGAGGGGGACCUUCGGGCCUCUUGCCAUCGGAUGUGCCCAGAUGGGAUUAGCUAGUAGGUGGGGUAACGGCUCACCUAGGCGACGAUCCCUAGCUGGUCUGAGAGGAUGACCAGCCACACUGGAACUGAGACACGGUCCAGACUCCUACGGGAGGCAGCAGUGGGGAAUAUUGCACAAUGGGCGCAAGCCUGAUGCAGCCAUGCCGCGUGUAUGAAGAAGGCCUUCGGGUUGUAAAGUACUUUCAGCGGGGAGGAAGGGAGUAAAGUUAAUACCUUUGCUCAUUGACGUUACCCGCAGAAGAAGCACCGGCUAACUCCGUG